rnacentral:rRNA from 1 species
CGCGUAGGCGGUUCGUUAAGUUGCUGGUGAAAUCCCGGGGCUCAACUCCGGGGCUGCCGGCAAGACCGGCGGGCUAGAGCACGGUAGAGGCGGAUGGAAUUCCCGGUGUAGCGGUGGAAUGCGUAGAUAUCGGGAAGAAUACCGGUGGCGAAGGCGUUCCGCUGGGCCGUUGCCGACGCUGAGGCGCGACAGCGUGGGGAGCAAACA